rnacentral:rRNA from 1 species
GACGAACGCUGGCGGCGUGCUUAACACAUGCAAGUCGAACGGAAAGGCCCUGCUUGCAGGGUACUCGAGUGGCGAACGGGUGAGUAACACGUGGGUGAUCUGCCCUGCACUUCGGGAUAAGCCUGGGAAACUGGGUCUAAUACCGGAUAGGCGCCAUUUUUAGUUUGAUGGUUGGAUAGUUUUUUAGGUGUAGGAUGAGCUCGCGGCCGAUCAGCCUGUUGGUGGGGUAAUGGCCUACCAAGGCGGCGACGGGUAGCCGGCCUGAGAGGGUGGGCGGCCACAGUGGGCCUGAGAUACGGCCCAGACUCCUACGGGAGGCAGCGGUGGGGAAUAUUGCACGAUGGGCGCAAGCCUGAUGCAGCGUGGCCGCGUGGGGGAUGACGGCCUUCGGGUUGUAAACUCCUUUCGCUAGGGACGAAGCUUUUGUGACGGUACCUAGAGAAGAAGCACCGGCUAACUACGUG